rnacentral:rRNA from 1 species
GAUGAACGCUGGCGGCGUGCCUAAUACAUGCAAGUCGAGCGAACGGACGAGAAGCUUGCUUCUCUGAUGUUAGCGGCGGACGGGUGAGUAACACGUGGAUAACCUACCUAUAAGACUGGGAUAACUUCGGGAAACCGGAGCUAAUACCGGAUAAUAUUUUGAACCGCAUGGUUCAAAAGUGAAAGACGGUCUUGCUGUCACUUAUAGAUGGAUCCGCGCUGCAUUAGCUAGUUGGUAAGGUAACGGCUUACCAAGGCAACGAUGCAUAGCCGACCUGAGAGGGUGAUCGGCCGCAUUGGAACUGAGACACGGUCCAGACUCCUACGGGAGGCAGCAGUAGGGAAUCUUCCGCAAUGGGCGAAAGCCUGACGGAGCAACGCCGCGUGAGUGAUGAAGGUCUUCGGAUCGUAAAACUCUGUUAUUAGGGAAGAACAUAUGUGUAAGUAACUGUGCACAUCUUGACGGUACCUAAUCAGAAAGCCACGGCUAACUACGUG